rnacentral:rRNA from 1 species
GGUUAAGCGACUAAGCGUACACGGUGGAUGCCCUGGCAGUCAGAGGCGAUGAAGGACGUGCUAAUCUGCGAUAAGCGUCGGUAAGGUGAUAUGAACCGUUAUAACCGGCGAUUUCCGAAUGGGGAAACCCAGUGUGAUUCGUCACACUAUCAUUAACUGAAUCCAUAGGUUAAUGAGGCGAACCGGGGGAACUGAAACAUCUAAGUACCCCGAGGAAAAGAAAUCAACCGAGAUUCCCCCAGUAGCGGCGAGCGAACGGGGAGCAGCCCAGAGCCUGAAUCAGUGUGUGUGUUAGUGGAAGCGUCUGGAAAGGCGCGCGAUACAGGGUGACAGCCCCGUACACAAAAAUGCACAUGCUGUGAGCUCGAUGAGUAGGGCGGGACACGUGGUAUCCUGUCUGAAUAUGGGGGGACCAUCCUCCAAGGCUAAAUACUCCUGACUGACCGAUAGUGAACCAGUACCGUGAGGGAAAGGCGAAAAGAACCCCGGCGAGGGGAGUGAAAAAGAACCUGAAACCGUGUACGUACAAGCAGUGGGAGCACGCUUAGGCGUGUGACUGCGUACCUUUUGUAUAAUGGGUCAGCGACUUAUAUUCUGUAGCAAGGUUAACCGAAUAGGGGAGCCGAAGGGAAACCGAGUCUUAACUGGGCGUUAAGUUGCAGGGUAUAGACCCGAAACCCGGUGAUCUAGCCAUGGGCAGGGGUGAAGGUUGGGUAACACUAACUGGAGGACCGAACCGACUAAUGUUGAAAAAUUAGCGGAUGACUUGUGGCUGGGGGAGAAAGGCCAAUCAAACCGGGAGAUAGCUGGUUCUCCCCGAAAGCUAUUUAGGUAGCGCCUCGUGAAUUCAUCUCCGGGGGUAGAGCACUGUUUCGGCAAGGGGGUCAUCCCGACUUACCAACCCGAUGCAAACUGCGAAUACCGGAGAAUGUUAUCACGGGAGACACACGGCGGGUGCUAACGUCCGUCGUGAAGAGGGAAACAACCCAGACCGCCAGCUAAGGUCCCAAAGUCAUGGUUAAGUGGGAAACGAUGUGGGAAGGCCCAGACAGCCAGGAUGUUGGCUUAGAAGCAGCCAUCAUUUAAAGAAAGCGUAAUAGCUCACUGGUCGAGUCGGCCUGCGCGGAAGAUGUAACGGGGCUAAACCAUGCACCGAAGCUGCGGCAGCGACGCUUAUGCGUUGUUGGGUAGGGGAGCGUUCUGUAAGCCUGCGAAGGUGUGCUGUGAGGCAUGCUGGAGGUAUCAGAAGUGCGAAUGCUGACAUAAGUAACGAUAAAGCGGGUGAAAAGCCCGCUCGCCGGAAGACCAAGGGUUCCUGUCCAACGUUAAUCGGGGCAGGGUGAGUCGACCCCUAAGGCGAGGCCGAAAGGCGUAGUCGAUGGGAAACAGGUUAAUAUUCCUGUACUUGGUGUUACUGCGAAGGGGGGACGGAGAAGGCUAUGUUGGCCGGGCGACGGUUGUCCCGGUUUAAGCGUGUAGGCUGGUUUUCCAGGCAAAUCCGGAAAAUCAAGGCUGAGGCGUGAUGACGAGGCACUACGGUGCUGAAGCAACAAAUGCCCUGCUUCCAGGAAAAGCCUCUAAGCAUCAGGUAACAUCAAAUCGUACCCCAAACCGACACAGGUGGUCAGGCAGAGAAUACCAAGGCGCUUGAGAGAACUCGGGUGAAGGAACUAGGCAAAAUGGUGCCGUAACUUCGGGAGAAGGCACGCUGAUAUGUAGGUGAAGUCCCUCGCGGAUGGAGCUGAAAUCAGUCGAAGAUACCAGCUGGCUGCAACUGUUUAUUAAAAACACAGCACUGUGCAAACACGAAAGUGGACGUAUACGGUGUGACGCCUGCCCGGUGCCGGAAGGUUAAUUGAUGGGGUCAGCGCAAGCGAAGCUCUUGAUCGAAGCCCCGGUAAACGGCGGCCGUAACUAUAACGGUCCUAAGGUAGCGAAAUUCCUUGUCGGGUAAGUUCCGACCUGCACGAAUGGCGUAAUGAUGGCCAGGCUGUCUCCACCCGAGACUCAGUGAAAUUGAACUCGCUGUGAAGAUGCAGUGUACCCGCGGCAAGACGGAAAGACCCCGUGAACCUUUACUAUAGCUUGACACUGAACAUUGAGCCUUGAUGUGUAGGAUAGGUGGGAGGCUUUGAAGUGUGGACGCCAGUCUGCAUGGAGCCGGCCUUGAAAUACCACCCUUUAAUGUUUGAUGUUCUAACGUUGACCCGUAAUCCGGGUUGCGGACAGUGUCUGGUGGGUAGUUUGACUGGGGCGGUCUCCUCCUAAAGAGUAACGGAGGAGCACGAAGGUUGGCUAAUCCUGGUCGGACAUCAGGAGGUUAGUGCAAUGGCAUAAGCCAGCUUGACUGCGAGCGUGACGGCGCGAGCAGGUGCGAAAGCAGGUCAUAGUGAUCCGGUGGUUCUGAAUGGAAGGGCCAUCGCUCAACGGAUAAAAGGUACUCCGGGGAUAACAGGCUGAUACCGCCCAAGAGUUCAUAUCGACGGCGGUGUUUGGCACCUCGAUGUCGGCUCAUCACAUCCUGGGGCUGAAGUAGGUCCCAAGGGUAUGGCUGUUCGCCAUUUAAAGUGGUACGCGAGCUGGGUUUAGAACGUCGUGAGACAGUUCGGUCCCUAUCUGCCGUGGGCGCUGGAGAACUGAGGGGGGCUGCUCCUAGUACGAGAGGACCGGAGUGGACGCAUCACUGGUGUUCGGGUUGUCAUGCCAAUGGCACUGCCCGGUAGCUAAAUGCGGAAGAGAUAAGUGCUGAAAGCAUCUAAGCACGAAACUUGCCCCGAGAUGAGUUCUCCCUGACUCCUUGAGAGUCCUGAAGGAACGUUGAAGACGACGACGUUGAUAGGCCGGGUGUGUAAGCGCAGCGAUGCGUUGAGCUAACCGGUACUAAUGAACCGUGAGGCUUAACCUU